rnacentral:rRNA from 1 species
GAAAGUUUGGCACCUCGAUGUCGGCUCAUCGCAUCCUGGGGCUGGAGCAGGUCCCAAGGGUUCGGCUGUUCGCCGAUUAAAGCGGUACGUGAGCUGGGUUCAGAACGUCGCGAGACAGUUCGGUCCCUAUCUGUUAUGGGCGUUGGAUGUCUGAGAGGAUCUGCUUUUAGUACGAGAGGACCGAAGUGGACGAACCUCUGGUAUGCCGGUUGUGCCGCCAGGCGCAGGUGUCGGGUAGCUAAGUUCGGGACGGAUAACCGCUGAAAGCAUCUAAGCGGGAAGCCGGCCUCAAGACGAGACAUCCCCGGGGACAUCGGUCCCCCUGAAGGCUCCCGGGAGACUACCGGGUCGAUAGGCUGCAGGUGCAAGCGCCGCGAGGCGUUCAGCCGAGCAGUACUAAUAAGCCGUGAGGCUUGGCCAU